CUGUUGACUUCACCAUUUUAUUACUUUUGUCUCUGAAUUUUCCGCCUGCCUGCAGCUCUUUCUGCCCACAAAUUAUUCAUCGUGCUCCCUGCAGGCCCCAGCUGUCAAUCCCAGGAUUAGGAGUUGGUAGGGAAGAUGGGAGUUCUGACUCAGGAGGGUUCGAGAAGACUACAGCCCUUCAAAUGGCCUGAAGUCUCUCAUGACGCCUGCGGGAAGUCCAGUCUGAAGAAAAACUAAACUUGAAUGCAGAAGGCUUUAGUGGAUGAAGAAAUGCCAGACAUAAGUAAUCUGGUAAAGCCAUCAACUUGUUAAUGGACACCAUGUCAGCAAAAAGAAUUGAUGGUCAAGGUCUCCCGACCACCGACAGUGCUACAUUAUCUACAUUGCAGAUGAACAUUAAACUGGAAUACCACUCAGUUCAAGCCAUAUGUUAUUCUUGUGUUCUAUACAGUCCAAUCAAUGUUUGUGAACAUGAACAACUCUCAUCCUAAGCCAAAAACACAGACUUCAAGGCCUCACCUGCUGUGUCUGCCAAACUGUCUCAGAAGUGCUACAUAAACAGUGAAUAGAAGUUGCAUUUUUGUGAACCUAUGUUAAAAUAUUUACAAGCAAAUGAGUUUUAUUCUAUAUUGCUGAACUAGAAUGUAUGCCCUUAUUCUUUGAAUAUUGUCCCUACUUUCUAAACCAAUUCUUUGCAUUUUUUUCCUAAUUGAUUCUCAAAUGUACUGUACAUGACUUCAGAGAUCAAAUAGAAAGUCUUUCCUGUUCUAACAUUGUUACCUAAGUAAUACAAACUAAAUGUUUCUGUUGCAUAGGAACAACAUAUGUGUUGAAUCUUGUCACUCAAUUGAAAUUCCUGCGUUAGAGAUUAAUUUCAUAGUUCUUGUUUUUUUUUCUGUGCAGCUGCAGGUUCUAAGUCAAGGCAGGGAAUUGAAUGAAGCAAGCAACUUGAAAAUCAGCUCAUUUAAUGGUUAGACUCUAUAAUUUAUAAAAGGAAGAUUAACACUUUUAACACAUUUUAGAUUAUGUUAGUAAGCAUAAAACAAUGCUACGAAUAGGGUUGACCAGUAUUGUUACAUUUCUCUGUCAGCUUCAGUUAUAUAGAUGUUUUACUUAGCAACAAAAAAUGACACUUUGAGGCAACAUGUGGUUUAGUAACCAAAUGUGAAUAUAUACAUAUAUAUAUAUAUAUAUAGAGAGAGAGAGAGAGAGAGAGAGAGAGAUCCAAAUUAAUACGGCAGCAUAGUACAUUAGGCUAAUUUCAACAAAACAACAUUCAAACAAAGUUUGAGAUUAUAGAUUGCAACAAUCAAAAUAAAUAUUGUAAUGUUCUGUUUUUUGCCCAUAUCUACAAAAUUUUCCUCAUUAAACUAUACUGCUGUUACAGCAA